rnacentral:rRNA from 1 species
CUCGCGUCCGAUUAGCUAGUUGGUGAGGUAACGGCCCACCAAGGCAACGAUCGGUAGCCGGACUGAGAGGUUGAACGGCCACAUUGGGACUGAGACACGGCCCAGACUCCUACGGGAGGCAGCAGUGGGGAAUAUUGCACAAUGGGGGAAACCCUGAUGCAGCGACGCCGCGUGGAGGAAGAAGGUCUUCGGAUUGUAAACUCCUGUUGUUGAGGAAGAUAAUGACGGUACUCAACAAGGAAGUGACGGCUAACUACGUGCCAGCAGCCGCGGUAAAACGUAGGUCACAAGCGUUGUCCGGAAUUACUGGGUGUAAAGGGAGCGCAGGCGGGAAGACAAGUUGGAAGUGAAAUCCAUGGGCUCAACCCAUGAACUGCUUUCAAAACUGUUUUUCUUGAGUAGUGCAGAGGUAGGCGGAAUUCCCGGUGUAGCGGUGGAAUGCGUAGAUAUCGGGAGGAACACCAGUGGCGAAGGCGGCCUACUGGGCACCAACUGACGCUGAGGCUCGAAAGUGUGGGUAGCAAACAGGAUUAGAUACCCUGGUAGUCCACACCGU